GAAACAUGAACUCUGAACUUUACUUGCACAGCUUGUAGAAAUACAUCACACUUCUGUGGUGCAGCAGAGUGGGAGGCAGAAAAUAUGAAUCUUAUUAGCAGUUUGGCCAAUGUCUUCCUACGUGAACAUGGCUACAGGUUCCUGAGAGACUACAUGUGAGGAUCACACUGAAAGCUAUGCAGUUGAAGCACUGGCAACAGAAUAACAUGCUUGGCUGUCAUUUUUCCAGUCUUCUCUGCUGCAGUCUUAAAUUUCAUGAAAGAGGAGCUAUUGACUAGUAACUCCACAAAGAUGAAACGGUUUAAUUUGGACAAGGAAAACCUAUCUGAAGUUUCAGGUAAAAAUUCCCCCAUGCUUUGCUCUUCUGGGUGAUGAAAGAAUUUCCUGAAGGAACUAAAGAAACCACCCAACAAUGUCAAA